UACGUAGGGGGCGAGCGUUGUCCGGAGUACUGGGCGUAAAGCGCACGCAGGCGGUCUGCUAAGUUUGGAGUGACAGUUGGUGGCUUAACUGCCAAAGUGCUUCGAAAACUGACAGACUUGAGGGCUUCAGAGGGACACGGAAUUCCGGGUGGAGUGGUGAAAUGCGUAGAGAUCGGGAGGAACACCAGUGGCGAAGGCGGCCCUCUGGGCCGGGCCUGACGCUGAGACGCGAGGGCGUGGGGAGCGAACGGG
rnacentral:rRNA from 1 species